UACGGGGGGAGCAAGCGUUGUUCGGAUUUACUGGGCGUAAAGGGCGCGUAGGCGGCCACCGCAAGUCGAUUGUGAAAUCUCCGGGCUUAACCCGGAAAGGUCAACCGAUACUGCGGGGCUAGAGUGCAGAAGGGGCAACUGGAAUUCUCGGUGUAGCGGUGAAAUGCGUAGAUAUCGAGAGGAACACCCUGCGGCGAAGGCGGGUUGCUGGGCUGACACUGACGCUGAAGUGCGAAAGCUAGGGGAGCGAACGGG
rnacentral:rRNA from 1 species